UGUGAAUUUUUUUUUGAAGGUCUAGUCAUCUCCAAUGUCUUUACUCUUCUCUCACAGUAAGGAUAAAGUCUUUAAGAGAAAAAAUUUCAGCUCCAGAGUUCAUGGUUUGGGAAUCAAUAUGACAUCUAGCAAGCUGCAGCAGAGAAAAAUGAUUUGAUUGUGUAAGAAAAGCAUGAAUCCAUCAAGGGAAAAGCUUGGAAAUAAUAGAACACGAGAAGAGAAUUUUCAUCAAGUUCACUAAGCCUCUGCAUACCGAUUUUACAGAGAGAAGCCAAGAAAGCAAGAAACGGAUUUUGAUCCCUAGAGUUACGUACCUUCUAGU